AAAAAAUUGCGGAUAAAGAUUUUAGCUGCGGUUGCUAACAUUUUCCAUUAGCUGAAAAAUGCGCGAGUUGGUGCUAUAUUCUGAACCCAAAGUUAAAGUUGGCAUUCACCGACUAACUCGGCGACAAUGAAAUAUGCUCAUCAAGUCGAUGAUCACAAGCUGGGAAAAAAUGGCGUUCCGCGAAAAAUGUAAUUCCUGAGGCUGAAGCAACCAAAUUGAGUGCGUUGAAGAUAUAGGCUAACUGGAGACCCUGUUCCGUGGCUAAUUCGUUCCUUUGCUUGAAUUGGUGCUGCGUGUAAUCCAAGAAAGUCCAUCGGAUUCAUCAUCUGAACCUCCUACUUUAGCGAAGAAAACGUACUUCACACACUUUAGUUCCCGAUCUUGGUGUUCUACUUCAGCAGCAAUGCAUCCGUGUGAGAUGAAUAAUAUCAAUACCGGCCGUACUUCACAUCAUCAAGAAUCGGAGUCCAGCAGCAGCAAGCUCGACGGAAAGUCAAACAUAGACAGAACAUCACAGAGAACAUGCGGGAAAUGGACAAUUCAACGAACAACUACCAAGUAUUUUCUUUUUUAUGAAGACAAUAUCAGCAUCCAACGCUUCGCAAAAGUACUCGCUGCUUCAGCCAUCGAACAAUUCGCUGCUGCCGCUAUUAUGAAUCGAUAACAGUUUUUAUGUAAAAUCAUAUCAGCAAUAAAA